CAGCGGAUGCAAUGCAACCUCCCACUGGGUGCAUUAGUGGCUUCAGUUUAUGGUUAUUAUAGUAACUAAGCUCUUGCAGAUUUUUAAUAUGAUAUGCCUGGCAUCAUCUGUGUGAUGAUAACACAAUAAAAAACAAACAAACAAACAAACAAAACAUUGCCAACAACAACAAAACUUCACACUGCUGAGAUGGAUUAUUUGUGAAGGCACUUGCUCUCAAGCCUGAGGACAUGAGUCCCAUCCCCGCUGAGAGUUCAGAGUCAGUUCCCACAAAUUGACCUCUGACCUCCACACACAUGUGAGCACACGUGGAAGAUAAUUUUCAAGAACUCCACCAAAUAAUAAUUUACGUUAUAAUAUUCAUUUUACAGAUAACAAUGUUGAGGCUCAGAUAUGAUAGGUGACUUCUAUAGGACUGCCUCCCUGUUCUUGAGCUCUGAACGCAGCCCACAGCUCUCCCUGAGCUACUGAUUAGAAGAUCACUUUUGUGGGUCAAAACUUCUGUUACGCUGGGUCAUGAAAAUAACUUCUAAGCUCAGUGUCUUCUAUCACCUGUCAGCAGCAAAAAGAAAGGCUUGGUUGGACUUGAAGUUCACGGCACUCUCCUGUAGAGGUUUGAUUGACAGCCUUGAAGGAAGGUUGUCAGUUACUGGUUCAGAGGAGCUAUGUGUAUCUCAGUAGAAAUUUGUACAUUUCUCAAAUCGCUGAUGGUGAAAACCAGUUUCCUUCAGGAAAACUUGGGCUCCUUUUACACCUUCCACAGACCACGGUAGAGUGGACAGUCCAGUGGCAAUGGGAAAGACAGACAGACCCCUCACUCUGCACUCAGCAUGAUGAGAACUGCCACUGAACAUAGCUAGGAAAGAACUCUGAGACAGAGCAAGGGUUUACCAUCUAUGCAGAAAAGCAAGAGAUCGUCUGUGAAGCAACUCUGAACACUGCUAAAUCCAACCAAGCCUGGGCUGGAAGUCAGGACACCCAAGACCUCACUCAGUUGUGCCCCUCGGCACCUCAGGGUCCCUGCACAGCCUAUCACACCUCGAAGUCUGUUCCUUCCUCUAUAAAAUGAAGAGCUUGCAUUAGAUUGCCUGUAGUGGGAGUGAGAAUGAAAUAGAACCGAAGAAGGAUGACGCCUUAAAGAACAGAGUCCCUUGUUUCCCCACAUGCAGACUCUCAGCCCCAUCUAUUCUGAGACAUCUGGAGGCCAAGUACAAUUAGUCUGCGCACCUGAGACAUCUCUGCAAGCCCUGCUCUGUGCCUUACUCCUUAUGUGAUUUCAAAUGUACUUAACCUAGAGCAUCCCAAACAGGUGGGAAGUUAACAGCUGUGCCAGGGCAUUAAUCCCUCAGCCUUGGGGAGGCUGGGUAUGGCAGGAACCCUGGAUUAAUCACCUCUAUUUAUAAACUGCUUUAUUCUUUUUUUUUUCUUAUUCUUUUCCUUCCUUUCCUAAUCCACACAAAUAACUUACAAACUAAAGUAAUUUAUAGACUAGAGUAAUUCCUAGGAACCCAUCUAAAUCUUGGAUUCAUCAUGUUUAAGUGACUAUAAUAAUGGUUUCGUUAACAUGGCCAUUUUGAAGAUAAUGACUACAUACAAUACAUGCAAAGUGCUUAAUGGAACCCAUACACAGAACUAUGGCCAAUAAUAUUCACAUUUCUUGUUAUGAUCACUCAAACCUGAUGAAGUGAGGACCCUUCUUAAUGCAAACAAGCUAGCUAGGAUUCCGUAUCUGAAGCCACAAGUCUACCCCUAGUGAAUAAAUUAAAGAGGCAGGUUUCCUGUGCAUGUGUCUGUAGGUAGACCUUGUACAAGACCUUGUUAGGCAAGCACAUAGAUCAGCAAGGCAUGGAACUACCAAAUGACUGUGGGAUAACAUCUGAGACAGAAAAGCUAGUGAUUAAGAGUGAAUGGCAAGCCCCAGCCCUCACCGAGGUGGCCUGAACUUUGUACCUUGUGUCUAACUGGGUGCCCACAGCAACUCAAUGGCUUUGAUGGGGCCAGUCUAUCAGCUUCAAACCUUGGCCCACCACUUUUACCCAGGGAUGGGAGCUAAGGGGUCACAGCCACCCAAGGGAAUCAGAGAGCUUCCAGCAAAUUCCAUUUGCAUGAUGCAGGAAAUGAGAACA
rnacentral:lncRNA from 1 species